UACGUAGGGUGCAAGCGUUGUCCGGAAUUAUUGGGCGUAAAGAGCUCGUAGGCGGUUUGUCGCGUCUGCUGUGAAAACCCGAGACGUCAACCUUGAGCUUGCAGUGGGUACGGGCAGACUAGAGUGCGGUAGGGGUGACUGGAAUUCCUGGUGUAGCGGUGGAAUGCGCAGAUAUCAGGAGGAACACCGAUGGCGAAGGCAGGUCACUGGGCCGCAACUGACGCUGAGGAGCGAAAGCAUGGGGAGCGAACAGG
rnacentral:rRNA from 1 species